UGCGACUCGUGACAAGGACUCGGUAUCACGGGACAGAUAACUUUCUAUCGAGAUUGGCUAUUGAAAGCCGGUAGUAGUUCAACAAGUUUCUUAAUGACCUGUGAAUGACUGUACAUAAUGAUAUUGCUAAAUGUCGAACUCUGUACCAAUCUAGGCAUUUUUUUUGCAAUUUUUGGCAAUUUACUUUCAUAAACACAAAGAGGAAAGUCUUCUUAUAUAGCUUGCAUGUGAUAACAUUAAUUAAUCCCCCCAUAUCAUAAUAAAUAAAGGCAUUAACAUUCAUACCAUCCCAUCUACCUAUCAACAUAGCAGAUGGAACAUGGAGGGGGUGGGGUUCUCGAUGCAGCAAUACUGUCCAAUACUGUCAUUAACAGAGGGUAGAAAGAAAAGUUUAAAUCACACAAUAUGUUUUAUUGGCAAUCCUCAUCCGCUCGUUAAAUGGGGUAAAAGCAAUGGGGGAGAAACAGUAGAACGGGAAUACAAUAGACAAUGAGAAGCACGAGCUUUACAAACAGUUAUAAACUGUUAUCACGUACACUCUACACUUUUUCAAAAAGUAAACCACGCUUACAACAAGCACCAUCCAGCUAUAAGAAAUCCUACCAGGCUCAAGAUAGCUUAAAGGUGUUAGAAGUCAAGACCAAGAAAUUAAAUUUAGUAUACAGCUAGCAAGGUCGCAUCCACUUCCCUAAAGCAACCUCACGUUGACGUGUAGGGGUAAGGUGAAUUGGCUAGCAACUCAUUUACUUUGACACACGUCUCAAAUGCGAACUUUUUCCUUACCAGGUAUCUCCAUAUUUUCUCCUCCCCCUAGCAUCCCUCGGCUCCCAGUUUCCAUUCUCCCCUUCGCAUUUUACUAGUACUUGUUCUUACCUCCUGAUGAUAAACCCUGUACUAGAACACACGUGAGGCUGCUUAACUUUUCAAAGAGCUCUAUGAAAUAUUCUAUUCCUUAUUUACCGUCAUUUAUUAUACAUUUACGUGCAUGUUUUUGAACUUUUGUUGUUUUCAUUAUAUUUGAACUCACUUCUUUUUCCACCAGCAUGUACACCUUACCCCUUAUCAGCCUUUUUGUUUUCCGGUCUAUACCUCCCCUACCCACUACCUCCUUCUUAAUCUUCCCAUUCACCCUAUACUCCAUGGUAAGAACAACCGCGUCACUAUCCUGGACACUCCUUAUAGUCUAACUCCACUCACCGUAGCAUUAUCCCCACAAUGACCCACCCGCCCUCACCCCUGCCACCAAUCUCUACCCGUAUCACAACCAUUAUCCCCUUUUAUGUCCCACUUCUCCCCAGGUGCCAUGGUACGAAUACCCGCUUUUAACAAAAAAAAGCUACAUUUCUGGUUAAAUAAGUCUCAUCACAGCUGUCUAAUAACGCAAAGAACGAUGCAAGAGUCGCCAGUAUUAUACUCAAUA